rnacentral:ncRNA from 1 species
AAUUCUUCAACGUGCUGUCGAGCGGUUUAAUAAACAGACUGUUAUUACGCAGAUUGACAUCACCUUUGGCCGUAACCAGCGAGCCAUCCAACGGGAUAUCGAGAUGUAAGCGAGCAUUCACAUCGCCAUCAAUCUGCAACUGCUCAAGCGUGGCGCCAAGAGAAUCUUUUAGCGGCGUAUCAUCAAAAUAAGGUCCAACCGCUUUGCCCGGCCCGUUGAUGUCGGCAUCAAUCAGCAGUUUUUCUUUUGCAUAGUCGGGAAUAUUGGCCGUCAGAUUGCUGGCUUUUACGCCGCCUAAAUUAACGCCAUCCGUUUUCAUCCACAGACCGUCGUUAAUGAAGUUCAGUUCAAUAUUGAGGUCAGUCAACGCAGGCCAGUCGGGCUGAAAGGCGAAUUUAGCAUUGCGUAACGGCAC